UGUUUCCAGUUGCGUCCUUUGCCUCUUGUUCCAUCACUGGAUACCCCUGAGAAGAGUCUGGCUCCAUCUCCUUUACUUACCCACAUCAGAUUUCUCUGGGAUUCCGCUUGUACCACUGCCCCAUGGAACUACCAUCUGAGUUACUCAUCUUAGACAGCAUGCCUGAGGAUGAGAAACUAUGAAAGUUUGCAUUGCCCCAGCCAAGCACUCCCCAAGCUUCACAUGGGAACAAGCACCUGGGAUUGAGGAAGAGGAGAGGGAAAGGAGCAAAACUUGUGAUCAGGACAAAGACUUCCUUAGGCACCAAAUAGUCCCCAGAUACCAACUCUGAGAGCCCACAUCCAGCACGUUCCUCAGCCUCCUGAGCAUUAAAAGUUAAUUCAAGAUGAAGAAGAAGACAGCUUCCUGCAGCUCAGAAGAAUUUUGACCCUUCUUUGAAAGCCAUAUCCUGUUUCUUCAUGUGGUAUGUUGGGACAGAAACCACUCAAGAAGUCACGUGAUUUCCUGUAUAAUCCAAAAUGCUCAUGGCAAAAAAGUUUUUGUAACGAAGUGUAUCACUGUGUUUGGGUUUGGAGUACCACAGUGAUAUAAAUGGCAUAAAGUCCUGUACAAAACUUGAAGACACAAAAAAGACCAUAUAUCUUAAGGAGAAAAAGAGACAGAAGCUUGAAAUGCUUGAGGAGACAAAUCCAGCAUUGUUUUCCUGUGUGCAUUUGUCAUGGAACGAUAGAGCUCACAGAGUUUCCAAGAGAUGGAAGAAAGGGAAAACUGUGAAGUCCUGUCCUGGAUCAAGCCAUUUGAAAUCAUUGAACUAUUGAAUUACUGUUUUUCCCCUCCCAGUUCUGGAAGAAAAUGUGGCUCUGGACACCCUAAUGGGAUUUUACUUAUGAAUAAUUAAGACAAAUGUCUGGAUUUUCAUUUCCUAUUUUACACACACACCUGCUAUGAUGCUGCUGCC